rnacentral:rRNA from 1 species
UACGUAGGAGGCAAGCGUUGUCCGGAAUUACUGGGUGUAAAGCGCGUGUAGGCGGCAGGCCAAGUCUGUGGUGAAAUCGCUCGGCUCAACUGGGCGGGGUCCAUGGAAACUGGUCAGCUGGAGGACGGUAGAGGUGAGUGGAAUUCCCGGUGUAGUGGUGAAAUGCGUAGAGAUCGGGAGGAACACCCGUGGCGAAGGCGGCUCACUGGGCCGGUCCUGACGCUGAGACGCGAAGGCGUGGGGAGCGAUCCGG